UGAGUCGAGUGCGCGUUUUCCUGUAGCAAUACGGACAUGGCGCACGGCGCACGGGUGCGUAACACGUGGGCAAUCUACCCUCGAGUGGGGAAUAACCCGUCGAAAGGCGGGCUAAUACCGCAUGACAUUCCCCGGACUUCGGUCUGGGGACUCAAAGCCGUAAGGCGCUUGAGGAGGAGCCCGCGGCCGAUUAGCUAGUUGGCGGGGUAACGGCCCACCAAGGCAAUGAUCGGUAGCUGGUCUGAAGGACGGCCGGCCACACUGGAACUGAGACACGGUCCAACUCCUACGGGAGGCACAGUGGGGAAUCUUGCGCAAUGGGCGAAAGCCUGACGCACGACGCCGCGUGGGGGACGAACCCUUCGGGGUGUAAACCCCUUUCGACCCGGACGAAGUCCCGCAAGGGAUCGACGGUACGGGAUGAAGAAGCCCCGGCUAACUACGUGCCACAGCCGCGGUAAGACGUAGGGGGCCAGCGUUGCUCGGAAUGACUGGGCGUAAAGGGUCUGUAGGCGGUGCGGCAAGUCGGGAGUGAAAUCUCGGGGCUUAACUCCGAGGCUGCUUUCAAACUGCCGUGCUGGAGUGCGGGAGAGGUGAGUGGAAUUGCAGUGUAGCGGUGAAAUGCGUAAUAUCUGCAGAACACCAGAGCGAAGCGGCUCACUGGACCGCACUGACGCUGAGAGACGAAAGCUAGGGGAGCAAACAGGAUUAAUACCCUGGUAUCCUACCCUAAACCAUCAGACUUGGCGUGGUCCCGUUCGGGGCCCGUGUCGACUAACGCGUGAAGUCCUGCGCUGGGGAGUAC
rnacentral:rRNA from 1 species